rnacentral:rRNA from 1 species
AUUGAACGCUGGCGGCCGGCUUAACCCAUGCACGUCGAGCGAGCGUCGGACGGGUGAGUAAUGUCUGGGAAACUGCCUGAUGGAGGGGGAUAACUACUGGAAACGGUAGCUAAUACCGCAUACCAUCAGAUGUGCCCAGAUGGGUUUGGCUAGUAGGUGGGGUAAUGGCUCACCUAGGCGACUAUCCCUAGCUGGUCUGAGAGGAUGACCAGCCACACGGGAACUGAGACACGGUCCAGACUCCUACGGGAGGCAGCAGUGGGGAAGAUUUCACAAUGGGCGCAAGCCUGAUGCAGCCAUGCCGCGUGAGUGAAGAAGGCCGGCGGGUUGUAAAACACUUUCAGCGAGGAGGCGUUACUCGCAGAAGAAGCACCGGCUAACUCCGGGCCAGCAGCCGCGGUAAUAC